UUCUAGUAUUGAAUUUUAGUUUAUAUCUUUUCUGUUGUUGUUUUGUGCAGUUUAGCCAGUUUCUAUUGGAGAGGACACAAAAAUAGACAAAAGUGAGAAAAGAAAGGGAAAAAGGCCCAAAUUGUCCACAGAUACUACAGUGUACUUGUAACUAAUUGGAUGAACUUGGGAUUAAAAAAAAAAAAAGUGUUAUCUUUCUUUUUACAUGGUUCAUUACCUCUUUCCCAGAACAGUGUUUGUUUUGUUUUAACAAAACACAUUUAUCACAGUAAUAGUAAGUGGAAUUGGUCUGAGAAGUUUGGAUCAUUUUCAACUUAUAAUUCUCUAAAUAUUGUUGGUGAAUGUGUCUACAAAAGAACUGAGGAUGGAGUUACAUUGUGAUUUAAUAGUAAUAAGAACAAGAGCAAUAGAAGUCUAUGUAAUAUGUUACACUUCGAAAACCAUUUUUCACAUACUUCAUUUAUUCCAUGCUAUUAGCAAUCCUACAGAGGAGAUAUGAUGAAACCAUUUUUCUGAUGAGGAAACCAAGACCCUGAGUGUGGCUAGUCAGCCUGGCUAUUCCAGACCCACUGACCUCAAUCCCCAGCUCUUUCCACAUUAAGAUGGGUAACAGGUUGGCUGACAGUAGUGCCUCCUUCAGACUAAUGAGAAAGGCCAAAUGGGAAUUUUCAAGCCAAAAAGUGGGAACAGCCAAGUCUAAGAAGAGAAAUUAUGAAGCAAGCCUUAUUGGACAUGUGGAUGUGAAAGCUGCUGAUGGGACUGAAUGACAUCAUUAGGCAGCAGUUGGUCCAGAGUAGAAUUUAAUUCAACCUGUGGUCUCAUAACCUGAUUGUUUUGGGUCUCAUAACACUAUCAGUCAAAAAAACUUUGUGCAUGCACACUCAGGUUUUAUUCAUUUCUAGAAUAGAGCAUGUAUAUUAAUCUAUUUUAUAUUUUAUAAAACAUAAACAAAAACAAAUUUUAGAUUGAGAGGAUAAAAAUACAAAAAGUUUUAGCGUUUUUUUCUUGUACUUGUUUUCUAAUAUGUGACAUGAAAUUGUCUUCUACAUACUCGCUGGUUGUUCUCUAUGGCUCAGGAAUUCUGUAAUUUAUAACCAGUGUUUGAAUAAUAAGGUUUGUCUGAAGAAUUUUUUUGCAGGACACCAGCUACCUUAUUUUCUGCAACUGCAUUUUCAAUGUAUAUUCAUUUGGCCAUGUUAAUGAGCUCUCCAUAAAGAGCUCAUUUUAUAUUCUUUCUAGAAUUAUAUUUUAUAUUCUUUUAUAUUCUUUCUAGAAAGAUUCAGUUGCUUGUCUUACAGUGGUCCACUGGAGCCAUCUCAUUUAACCUCAUUUAAAUAGCCUUGAGCCCAAAAAACAUGUCUGUAUUCAGGGCCAAAUAGAUGUCUAGCCAGAAUCAGAGGACACACCAUCAUGAGUGUCAGCCACUGACAUAUUUUGUCUAGAUUUGGAGAAUUUAUGUUUUGUUUUUCCUGUGAUUUGGUAUGUGGUGAAUGUGUUUAUUUAUUUUGUGAAUUUUAUUUGGGGGAUAAAUAUUUCACAUAUCUCAUUUAUUUAAAUAGACUGAAAGAAAAAAAAGAAAACAAUUUCUUUACUGGUUUCUUUGGAUUCAAAUUUCAAAUUUAAGAGAUUGGAGAGUGUAAGAUUUGUGCAUGGAAUCUGAGUUUUCUUUCCACGAGGACAAAGACAAUAGCUUACCAUAAGGAUUCCCUUAUUUGUCUUGUGAGAUACAGUUUGUAAAAAGCACUCAUCAACCAGAAAUUGAUGUUUAAGAGACAGCAACUAUAUGGGUGGUUUUCUCAACCUCUCUCCUUUGAGGAGGGACACAAAACUACAAUUUUUUUUUUUUCCAGAUAUGUGCUAUGUGUUGGUAGGUCACACAGAUAACAAGUUUGAGAAAAAGUAACAGCUCUGUUGUCUCCAUUCUCACAAAAGUCACUCUGAAUUCCUGCCAUUGUCCUUAAAGUAUGUGCAAAUGCUAUUAAAUAUUGCCAGAGUACAUCCCUGGGACAUCAAAGAGCUGAUUGCACAUGUCAUGUCUCUGCCAAGGGCCAAAUCCAAUUGGAAGGCAACUGCCUAGGAGCAGUGAAGCCCCUAUACUUGGAGGAAAUGCGCUGUGGAGGAUUCUUUCCUGAAAUGCCCUUAGUGUUCUUCCCCUUGUCUCUCCAGCUUGUGGAGAUGUGGGCAUCUUAAGUCCAGAGUAAGCUUUUAGAGGAAGAGAAAAGUUGAUUUCCCAGUCUGUUCAACUGUCCACACUAACUCAAUUCUUGGUCACAGCGACUCUGUGACAUGACCACAAUGGGGUAAAUACUAACCUGAUAUUGAUGGAGUUCACCAAAGACAGCUGCUUUGCUUUGUCCUGCUCAUACAAACAUGAUGUGGAAACUUGCAUUGCUGAUGGCAACACACUGGACAGAUUUCUGGAAAGGAAUUCUCAUUCAUUGGAUAGAAGGUUUGGAAGACAGUUUCUGUGUCUGUUUCUUUUUCUUUUGCUAACAAGAUUUUUUUUUUUUGUCUUUUUUAAAAGUAGAUUCUUGAUUUCACUAUGUUGAUGACCUCGUUUUCAAAUUGCUUAUUUGAAGAAAUCAUUUGGACUUGAUAAGCAGUGAUCUUUGUAAUUAAGAACAUGUUGUGCGUUUGUGUGUGUGUUUAUUUAUUUAAUUCUGUUUUAUUCAUUUAUUUUUCUUCUCAACCUUGGCCAAAUAUUUCCUCCUUGGCAAAGGACUUUAUGGACAAACUACUGAUUUUGGAGCCUGGUCAUUGCAUGUCUUCUGGACAGGUUCUGGACCAUCCCUGGGUGAUCACCGUAGCUUCAGGGUCUUCCAGGAGAACCCUUCAGAGAGUAGUUUCCUGGAACUUCGUGCAGAGAGCUCUUCCCAAUCUGAGUCCCAGAUCUGCACGAUCUUCUAAGUCACAUUCUUAUCAUAAAUCAAGGCACAUGUGGAGCAAGAGAAACUUAAGGGUAGAAGAAUCACCACCACCUGCACUUUAGUGAGCAGAUGACAUUUAAAUCACUUUAUCCAAUGUUAAGCCAGAUACAUUAACUUCAUUAAUAGCUUCAGGUCAAUAGGGACCAUUUCGUCAUGAUUAAGGCAGCUUAAAGCUCCAAAGACCUGGGAGUAUGUGGUUAUUGUUGUAUAAUGGUGACCUUCACUUUUCACAUUUCUUGAUCUGUACUUUUCUCCAUAUUUACAUAGGAAAUAUAGAAAUUCUCCAAAUUAUACAUAACCAAUAUAGUCAAUAUUUAGUACAUUUAUGUAAUAGGAGAUAGUAGCUGAAGAAAAUCUCUUAAUAAUUUACGGAUUAAAUAUCUUGUGAAAUUAUAGGAACAAUGGAUUAAUAUGUGAAGGGAUGUUCUAUAAGAGAUAUAGCAGGCAUGGUUAGACAAAGGAAAUAAAUUUGCUCAUCCUGAAAUUACUGAUUUAUAGUCAAGACCAGUGUGUAGUGUUAAUAACCACUGGGUAACGCUCAAGAAAGUUACAAGUGUCUGUUAAUUUCAUAUUUAGUCUGCAAGUAUUCAUGGAAAUUAUUAAUUAUGGGGCAUAUCAAGAAGCUUAGCUGAGUUCCUGCUGUUGUACUGUGGAUUAACAAUCCAGUGCUGCUGCAACUGGAAACAAUUUCAUCAAAAAAGUAGAAAAAAAUGGGCAAAUACUUUGACAGGUAGUUCAUAAAGGACAAAUGACUAAUGUAUGUGAAAAUGCCUGAUUUCACUCACAAUUUAAAAAUGUAAAUUAAAACAGCAAAGAAAAUAAUUUUUCACCUCUCAUAUUAACAUAAUUUAAGACAUGGAUAACACAUCUGAUAGAGGUUGAGGAAGGCAUAUCAUGCAUCACUGAGGGAAAUGCGAGCAAGCUGAUUCCACUUCACCAGGAACAGUUUGGCAGCAAUACCUGUUCAAAUUUAAAAUGAAGUGGCCUUGUGACAUAAUAGUGGAAUUUUCAGAAAUUUGUCCUACCCAUACUCUUGCAAAAGUGUGCAAAUUAUAUGUGCCAAAGUGUAUAAAAUAUUGUUGUUUAUAAAAACAGGAAUCACAUGUGAAUGCCCACCAAUAUGGGAGCUCCUUAAACAAAGCAUAUUCCAUCUAAUCCAUGGGGAACUACACAUUAUAAAAACGACUUGGGCAAUCUGUAUGUUACAUGAUAUGUUAUUAGGUAAAAUGAAAAGGCAAGGUACAGAGAAGUAUGGUUUCAUUUGUGUGAAAAUAUACUUAGAAGCUUGAAAGAUUUGUAAGAAUUUGACAGAGUGAUUAUUUCCUUGGAGUAGGAAAUUUGGAAUGGAAAGGAAAGAUUUAUUUUUCAUUUUAUACCCAUAUCUACCUUAAAAAAAUUUUUUUGAGCCACACCCACAGCAUAUAAAACUUCCUGGGCCAGGGAUCAAACCCUCACCACAGCAAGGACCUGAGUCACUGGAUCCUAAAUCGGCUUUACCAAGGAAACUCCAAAAUUAUUUUAGUUGAUGUAUUUGAAUUGUCUAUAGUAAAAUGAAAAUCCAGUUAAAAAUUCAAGGAACAGAAGUGAAAAAAAAUAAAUAAAAAGAGAAGUUUGAAUAAGUACCCCUAGAGGAAUUUGGGAUUGACUGACUAAUCAACUGUGAAAGCUGGUUCUUUAUAUAACUGGAUAUUUUAUAUCUUUUCCAAUUGAAAAAUUCAGAAUAAAAAUACAACUCCCCAAAUUAUAAUGUUAGAUAUAGAAAACAAAUUUAUGCUUACCAGAGGGGGAGGGGGUAAUGAUAAAUUGGGAGUUUGGGAUUGACAUGACACAGACACGCAGUUAAAUAUAAAAUGGAUAAACUGUUAGGACAUACUGUAUAGCACCGGGAGCUAUAUACAGUAUCUUGUAAUAACUUAUGAUGGAAAAGAAUCUAAAAAAAAAAAAUCUGGAUCACUUUGCUGUACACCUGGAACUAACACAACUUUGUAAAUCAAUUAUACUUAAGGCAUGUGGAAGUUCCCAGGCUAGGGGUCAAAUUAGAGCUGUAGCCACUGGCCUACGCCACAGCCACUGGUGUCUGUGCCUACACCACAGCUCACAUCAAUGCCAGAUCCUUCAACCCUCAAGGCCAGGUAUCAACCCUGAGUCCUCAUGGAUACAAGUUGGACUCGUUCCCACUAAGCCACAACAGGAACUUCACAGACAUUAUUCUUUAUUUGAUUUCACAAACAGCUCAGAAAUGUGCAGUAAAUUAUUCAUGGUCACACAGCAGGUAAAUAGCAGGUCUAGAAUAUGAACCUCAGAACUCCUUCUGCAAUCUCUAUGUUGGAUUACUUCCAAGAGAUUAGAAUGCAAGAGGAAAGCUCUGAUGUCUUAGAUUUCAUCCAUAUUGACAUAAAGAAAUAGUAGAAUACAAUAUUACCUCAAGUUAUGGUGUAAAUAUUUAUAAUUUCCAUGGAUAAUUUAUUUUCAUGUCCUUUGCUUAUGCAGUUUGCCUUGAGGUGAUUUUCUAUCAACUUCAGACUUAAAGAGCUCACCUGCAGGCAUCUUGUAGUCCAAGUCAGGACUGGGUUAUUGUGGGGUAUCAGAGGAUUUUGAAUGCAGGGCACUGAGCCAGAUUUAGGAGAGGUAGGGCUGGCUAGGAAGAUGAGUCAAGCCUCAGAGAUGGGCAAUGGUAGAGAGUUUGGAAUGAAGGGAGGCAGGCUGGGGCUGCAGCGACCAGCAAGAAUCUACUUCUUCAGGUAGAAGGAGACAAUAAGGACUCAGAGCCCUCGGGAGAGGAGGUUGACACCGAGUCCAUGGCUCCCCAGGGUCAGAGUACUUGUUUACAUGGUAACAGAGGACCAUUAGUGAGAGAACCUCCAGGAUGGAAGGACUAAGAGGCAGACAGUGUGACUCAUGACUCACUUCUCAAGGGUGGGGCCAGACUUUAUCUCUGAAACCCCACACCCUUGUAAUCGUAAUCUGCAUUUAGCAGGCACUCAGUGUUUGAAAAUGAGAGGUGGACUGCUCCCU
rnacentral:lncRNA from 1 species